rnacentral:rRNA from 1 species
UACGUAGGGUGCAAGCGUUGUCCGGAAUUAUUGGGCGUAAAGAGCUCGUCGGCGGUUCGUCGCGUCGGCUGUGAAAACCCGGAGCUCAACUCCGGGCCUGCAGUCGAUACGGGCGGACUCGAGUUCGGCAGGGGAGACUGGAAUUCCUGGUGUAGCGGUGAAAUGCGCAGAUAUCAGGAGGAACACCGGUGGCGAAGGCGGGUCUCUGGGCCGAUACUGACGCUGAGGAGCGAAAGCGUGGGGAGCGAACAGG